rnacentral:rRNA from 1 species
AGCUUGACUGCGAGCGUGACGGCGCGAGCAGGUGCGAAAGCAGGUCAUAGUGAUCCGGUGGUUCUGAAUGGAAGGGCCAUCGCUCAACGGAUAAAAGGUACUCCGGGGAUAACAGGCUGAUACCGCCCAAGAGUUCAUAUCGACGGCGGUGUUUGGCACCUCGAUGUCGGCUCAUCACAUCCUGGGGCUGAAGUAGGUCCCAAGGGUAUGGCUGUUCGCCAUUUAAAGUGGUACGCGAGCUGGGUUUAGAACGUCGUGAGACAGUUCGGUCCCUAUCUGCCGUGGGCGCUGGAGAACUGAGGGGGGCUGCUCCUAGUACGAGAGGACCGGAGUGGACGCAUCACUGGUGUUCGGGUUGUCAUGCCAAUGGCACUGCCCGGUAGCUAAAUGCGGAAGAGAUAAGUGCUGAAAGCAUCUAAGCACGAAACUUGCCCCGAGAUGAGUUCUCCCUGACUCCUUGAGAGUCCUGAAGGAACGUUGAAGACGACGACGUUGAUAGGCCGGGUGUGUAAGCGCAGCGAUGCGUUGAGCUAACCGGUACUAAUGAACCGUGAGGCUUAACCUUACAACGCCGAAG